AUGGCCCGUCUUGCCCUUUCUGACUCUCCCAGUGGCCCUUGGCUCCUCUGCUGUGUGGCCCUCUGUCUCCCGGGGGCAGGUUCAGUGGCUGCUGGAGUUACCCAGUCCCCAAGACAUGUAAUCAAAGGCCAAGGGGGGAUGGCCAUUCUGAAGUGUAACCCCAUCUCCGGACACAGAAGUGUGUACUGGUACCAGCAGGCUCUGGGACACGGCCCUCAGUUCCUCAUUGAAUAUUUUGAAAAGGAGGAGAGAGAAAAAGGGAGCAUCCCUGAUCGGUUCUCAGGAAAUCAGUCCAGUGACUACAGCUCUGAGCUGGCCAUGAGCGCCUUGCAGCUGGGAGACUCAGCCGUGUAUCUCUGUGCCAGCAGCUUAGACACAGCCCUGCAGGGACACCUGGAUGCCCGAAUCACCCAGAGCCCAACAUACAAGGUCACAGGGAAAGAAAAGAAGGUGACUCUCAGAUGUCACCAGACUGAUAACCACAACAAUAUGUACUGGUAUCGACAAGACCUGGGGCAUGGGCUGAGGCUGAUCCAUUACUCAGUCGGUGCUGGGAUCACUGACAAAGGAGAUGUUGCUGAUGGGUACAGUGUCUCUAGAUCAAAUACAGAGAACUUUGCCCUCACACUAGACUCAGCAACCCCCUCCCAGACAUCUGUGUACUUCUGUGCCCGCAGUGAAUCCACAGCCUAG